rnacentral:lncRNA from 1 species
CCAAGUUGCAAAGUAGUUAAAGUUCUUUUGUAUGAAUGAAAGUGGCAGGAUGACCCCAAUAUCUUCCAUGAAAGGAAAAAAUAAGUUGGGAGCAAAGUUAUUCAUAUUCUCUAUUCUCUUCUCUUUUCUACUAAACUUUGUCUCCUAAAGCCCACACAUUGUCAUGACUUAAGAAAAUCAUGUUCUCUUCUAGGUAGAUUUUGAUAUCUGAUUUUUAGCUGAAAUUAGAGCCAAUGUCUCUGGAAGUGACGUGCAAUGGGAACAUUAACCGUAAUUUAUUUUUUUUAUUUUUAUUUUUUUUGAGACAAAGUCUCACUCUGUUGCCAAGGCUGGAGUGCAAUGGCGUGGUCUCGGCUCACUGCAACCUCCACAUCCCAGGUUCAAGAGAUUCUCCUGCCUCAGCCUCCCAAGUAGCUGGGAUUACAGAAUGAAUCCUAAUUGAAGAUGAAACCCUCAGCAACCUGGAAAUCUUGAAAAAAAGGCAAGUGUUUUGGAAUUACUUAAAGUUCCAAAAGCAUUAAAUAGAAUAUUCCCCUCACAGGUGAAAAUUAUAAUAUGGGGCUUAAUAUACAUAAUUCCACUUUUUGUUUUUGAGACAGGGUCUGGCUCUACUGCCCAGGCUGGAGUUCAGUGGCACAAUCUCAGCUCACUGCAACCUCCGCCUCCUGGCUCAAGCAAUCCUCCCACCUCAGCCUCCCGAGUAGGCGGGACCACAGGUGCACUGGUAGAGACAAGGUUUUGCUAUGUUGCCCAAGCUGGUCUCGAACUCCUGGGUUCAAGUGAUUGCUUGCCUCGGCUUGUUAAAGUGCUGGGAUUAAGGCAUAAGCCCCUGUGCCUGGCCAAUUCCACUUUUUUUUUUUUUUUUUUUUUUUUGGAGACAGAGUCUCACUCUGCUGCCUAGGCUGGAGUGCAAUGGUGCAAUCUUGGCUCACUGCAAGCUCUGCCUCCCGGGUUCAUGCCAUUCUCCUGCCUCAGCCUCCCGAGCAGCUGGGACUACAGGUUCCUGUCACCUCGCCCAGCUAAUUUUUUGUAUUUUUAGUAGAGAUGGGUUUUCACUGUGUUAGCCAGGAUGGUCUCAAUCUCCUGACCUCAUGAUCCACCCGCCUAGGCCUCCCAAAGUGCUGGGAUUACAGGCGUGACCCACCGCGCCUGGCCAAUUCCACUUUUUUGAAAGAACUAGUUCUUUUAUUUUUAAUUAUGGUAAUGGUAACCAAUUCAGAGUAAUUAUGGAUUAGGGUGCUCCAACUUAUGUAACUGGGGGAAAAAAAAUUCCUUACAUGGAACAUCAAGAGUCACUGUGGUAUGUUGCUCAGGAGCUAGCAGUGUUUCUCCUCUGCUCAGCCACUGUCCACUAAAGCCACAUUCCAAAUACACAUCACCAAGUUACCACCCAGCAGAUCUGAUCCUGUGGCACCAAAAUGCCUCAGCAGUAAGUACCCAGGGGCCAGAGAAGCUCCAGAAUUGAACAAGCCCAGGAAGCACAACAAAGUAUGGCACAGAUGAGAUCCCGUCAAGACCAUUGCCAGGAAAAUAACCAAAUGAGAGUGUGUGUGUGUGUGUGUGUGUGUGUGUGUGUGUGUGAAAAUUCUGUUAGAUCAAACACUACCUGAAAUUAUUGGCAUGUGGACCCCGGCUCAGAAACACUGACAUAAAGACUUAAAUGUAAUGGGAUUUGUUUUCAAAAGAUUUGACUUUUCUCUGUAAAAAACACAGCAACAAGGCAACAGGGAAUAUUACCAAAGUUUCCCAAAGGCUUGUAUAGGAUUUGAAAAAGUUGGGGGAAGAAUUUAACCCUAAAAGCUUAACUGAUUUUCAAACACCUGCAAAUACAUAAUUACAGAUCCUGUGAAGCUUAACCUUGGUGGUGUUAAAUGUUAGCUAGAAUGUCACAAGGCCAGUCCUUAGGGACAGUGUGACACACACGUCACCUUGACCACCAGAUGAGUAAGCUGCACCACGUGCUGUUUUCAGACUUUUGAAAUCUCUGAAAUAGGCUCCUUUUCUCUAAAGAAAAAAUGGGGGGCUGAGGGGGUUCACCUACACAUGAGACGAUCACCCACAGGACCUGCAAUAUUAUUUGAGCUACUUAC